AGAAUUCCUUACCUGCUAAAGACAAUGAUAUAUCGUUGAGAAAGAAAACUCAUAAAGGUAAGAGAUUAUGCUAGACACUGAUAAUGUUUA
rnacentral:ncRNA from 1 species